rnacentral:tRNA from 1 species
AAUUGUUUAACUUAAAUUAAAGUGAGUAUCUUGAAAAUAUUUAAUAAAGUAUUAAACCUUUAACAAUUU